rnacentral:tRNA from 1 species
GCCGUUUUAGCUCAGUUGGCAGAGCGAUCCCUUCGUAAGGGAUAGGUCCCGAGUUCGACCCUCGGAAACGGCUCCA